rnacentral:rRNA from 1 species
GUGUCAGCAGCCGCGGUAAGACGGGGGGUCCUAGCGUUGUUCGGAAUUAUUGGGCGUAAAGCGUGUGCAGGUUGUUUGAAAAGUUGGAUGUGAAAUCCCUGGGCUUAACCCAGGACGUGCGUUCAAAACUGUCAAACUUGAGUAUGGAAGAGGAUCGUGGAAUUCCUAGUGUAGUGGUGAAAUACGUAGAUAUUAGGAGGAACACCGGUGGCGAAGGCGGCGAUCUGGUCCAAUACUGACACUCAUACACGAAAGCGUGGGGAUCAAACAGGAUUAGAUACCCUGGUAGUCC